AGAGGUGGUUGGCAGACUUGAUCGUCUGGAUCUGAAACUUCUAGCUGGAAUGCCGGAGGAAUUUGGUACUGUUCAUGAAGCACUAUAUCCCUCUCAGACAGCUCAUAUCAGAAUCCUAGUGGCACAAAGUCGGAAUCUCUAGAGGCUAUUUCUCUCAUCCAAAAAGAAAAAUACAAAGGAUGGUGGAAGGAAAAAGAAGCGCCUAUGCCAAAAGAGAAGGAGAAAAAU
rnacentral:lncRNA from 1 species